AGAAACGAACAAAAAAAGAAGAAAUAAACACGUGAAAGAAGGUGAGAAAGAGAGAGAAGAGAAGAAAGAAGAAACUAUAUAUAUCUGCGUUCACACUGCUACAAGGAAGAAAGAGAGAAAUAUAUAUUAUAAACAAAAUAUAUACACACCAAAAGACAUAUACACAAGAUAAACACGACUUUUUUCAUUAAGAAAGCAUUUUACAAUUUGUAUAUAAUGAACUAUAGAUAUUACACGUACGGAUCUAGGUGUACGGAAUUAAGGCGUUUCGAUCUUACGAUGUGUAUAAGUACAUACUUGCGAGAUAACAUUAUAUUAUUUAUCAUGUGAGUGCGCGGGUACAUGACCGAAAUCCCAUUCUCGAUUUUCCAUUUAAACUACCGUUUAAUUAAACUACGUUUAAUUAAAAUGAUGAUCCAGAUCGUUGAAUGAUCGUGGCCGUAAACUACGUAGAACUCUAGCUACAGUAGAUCUCGUCACGCACGGACGUUCGAUCGGGAGGAAAUUAAAUUUAAACCAAAAUAAAUUUUAAAAAAAUAUACAUGUAUACAUACACACAUGCAACACAUACAUAAAUACGUACGUACAUACAUACAUACACACAUACAUACAUACAUACGUACGUACGUACAGACAUACAUAUAUAUACAGACACGCACACACAUACACACAUAUUAUCUAACGAAGAUAACCAAUCCAAAAGCUGUAGAACAGGAGAAUUAAAUAUCGUCCCUUGAUCUUUAUUGGUUACAGUUUACCUACAAAAAGUCAAUCCAUCGAGACACGAAGCACGUAUUUCCGAAUAGAUAAACGCGUCAUACUAUAGUCGAACACGAGCGGAACAAUUCUCUUGCCUUUUAUCGACAAGUAGAACGUAUUCGAGUAUUUUUAAGGCGUACACACUGGAUUGCACACACACAUACACGCGUAGCGUAAGUAGUGAAACUUCGUUUUGCCCUCGCUCGGUCUUCCCCGAGUGAAUUUUGAAACGGCCGGCAAAAAAGAAAAGAAAGAAAAAAAGAAAAAUCAGGAACCCAAUGCGACAGACACUUUUCAAAAAACCAAGACCUUUUUUUAAUUUUCAUUUGUAAUCCAUUUCGUUUCUCCCGUUCCUUUCGUUUACCGCAUCGCGUCACUUUCGUUACGUGUCGACGUGAGUUCUUCGUCAACCCUUAACUUCAUGCUAGAUUUGUCGUCAAAUCCUUAUAAAAUGCCAUAAGAAUAAAUAUAUGUGCACGUGAGAACAUUUCAUUUCUAAGAAAGCCGCAAACGUGCUAUAUCGAAUAGAAGUUCACGGAUCACUGUAAAAGUUCGUAGAGAAAUCACGCCAUCUUGCGACAGGUGGAUUGAAAAUGUGAUUACACAUUUUCGAUCCUAUCCGACGUAUCCUUUCGAGUCGACAUAGUUCGAUUGUACUGACAGUCAGCAUCGUAAUUCACAUGGUGUUUGCAAGGUUUAAGCGUUGACGAAAACAAUGAAUGGCAAUCGAAGCUGAAAGCGUCGUUGACCACGUAACCGGAAGUACUCGCGACUCGACGAAUCAAUCGUAAUUACCGAACGUUUCAUUCGAUCGUAUUGCAUUUACCAAAAACCUAUUGAUAAAAAUUCUGUUAAGAGAGGUGACAAGGAACAAAAGAAAAAAAAAAGAAAAAAAAAAUUGGACGAAUCACGAUACACUCACCGUGUGUUCGAACGAACGAACAAACGAAUUCCAAUUUGUAACAUAUUAGGGUAGGAACAAACAACGAUCGUGUCGAUUGGAAUGAGAAUUUGCAUGACUCAUUUAACGGAGCGAACGCGAACAUGUGAGCAUCAUAUGGAAACGAAUUCGAGGAAUCUCUUAUCGAUUGAAAUCGCAUUUCAUAUUCUUUCGAUCGAGGAGGAUUUCAUUUUGUAAGCUCCUCCGAACCGAAUAAAAAUGAUUUUUUUGAUCGUUUAUAUACCUAACUAGCAGUAAAGGACGGUAGCCUUUUCUCAAAAUUACGAAUUUCUAAUUACAAAUCCUUCUCCCUUUUGCCCCCGAGUCCAAGAGGUCAUUCACAUGCUCCCCGCUCCCCUUUUCCAUCCAUUUAUCAUUAAAUUAGAGAUUUAUUAUAUUAACGUUAAAAAUGAAAUUAUUCCCCCUGUGAGAAUAAAGUUUCUAAUAAUCUGAUAUACAUUUUUUUAUUCUCAAAUGGACGUUAUAGCGUGUUAAGAUAAUACAAGGAUUAUAUAGACUUUCAUAUAAUACUUUAUAUUUAUAGCAAGAUUCCGUAACAAAUAAAUGAGCUUGUAUUAAUCCUAUAACACUUUCAAGUCUGUAGCAAGAAAUCACAGAAAUAUUCGUUUCGUCUUUAUCGUUGUUCUUUUAGCGUUGUGAGAGUUAGCGUUUACGAUACACGAUGGAAACGCUUAUGUGCAGAAAACAUUUUCGUUUAUCGAUAGACAGUUUGUCACUAAAUUGAUGAGUAACAUUGCAUAUCUCUGUCUGUUUCGAGUCUCAACUGGCGACGAUCAUAACGAGAGCAGUUAGAAUGUUGAAAAAAGAAAAAAAAAAAAGAGUAAUUCGAAGAUUAAUUGAUUAAAAAGUAAUGAAACGACACGAAAGCGAUAGAAAAAUAAAUUCCGUUUGUCGUUAAUAGACAGACAUCGAUGAAAGACAGUCGCGUGAGAAAAGAGCUUGUUUAUACGAAAAAAGAAAAAUGUUCUCGCAAGAUGCAAGCUCAAAGUAUCACGAAUUAUAUUAAAGUGCCAUUGUUUUUCUUACGCAUGUUCAAAUCCUUGUAUUACUUUGGUAAAAUGUAUCGCCAAACGACAAGUAAAGGAAUGUAUCUCGACAUCAAUGAAUAACGAGCUCUAUUUUCAUUAAAGACAGAUCAUAAUUUGUAGCAUACGAUCUGUAAUAGCAUCGUUUUAAAUUUUCAAGAUGUUUGAAGAGUUUUCAGAAAGCGUUUUUUUUUUUUCUUAAUUUGUACGCCUAAUCGUACUAAUCAUAACGAAUAAUCAGAAAAAUAAGUAGUACAUAAACGUUCUUAGACUACUAUUCAAUCUACUAUUCGUCAUACGCCGUUUUUUUUAAGAUUAUCGCUCGAUCUUACUGCAAAACCUUCAAUACUAAUUAAUACAACGUAUAAGAAUGUGUACAAUGUACAAUUUCAGUACAUUGUCCAAUUGGCCAUAAAAAUAAAGAGAAUUCGCCGAUAAUUGACAAACUCGUCACGAAAGUUUCUCUUCAUCAUGGAACAUUCCUUAUUUAUCGAUUAUUCUUUUCUAUGUGAACAGUCGCUUACGAAUUUAUACGUUUACGAUCUUUGUUCAUUUGGUAUCCUACUCAAGAACAAGAAAAGCAAAGCGCUUUCACUGGUAGAGACUAACGGAUACGAGUAACUGCAAACUGAUGAAAUUUUACUAAUGUAAACGAUGUCUUGCAUACAACAUACCUAUAUCCGGCACCUCGUUUAAGAAGAGAGAACUAUAUAUUAACGAUUAAUUUUAAAAGAAGAAUUUUUCAAAUGGUAGCUCAUACUAUAAAUCGUUAAAGUAUAUCGAAACUUAGGAGAUGCAUAGCCGACGCGGAAAGAAGAUUAUACCGUUCAAAGUCAGAUUAUAUGCUUCAUUCAUUCGAUCGCGAUAGAACAUUGCGUUUUUCUAUCAUCUUUCUCCCAUCGAUGUUUGAUCAUUUUAGCUUGUUAAAAAAAAAAGAGAGAGAGAAAAAACCGAGGUCUUAUAUCGAUAUGGUGUGAAAUGUAUUAAAUAUGCAUAAAUUGUCAACGAUCUUCGACCAACGCUAGCUUAAUUAGUCCCAGUAUUGCUGGAUAAGCGAGAUGACGUUAAGACUUAACCAACAAGAAAAAAAAAAAGAACAAAACACCAAAAAAAAAGUGAAGUUUAAGAAAUCAUCAGUCGUUCUGAUCCUUAAUAGAGAGAGAAAAGCGGAUGAGAAAUUUUUGCAUGGUGCCUGAUGUCUUUCGAUACAUAACGACGUUCGCGAAGGUUACUUAUCAUUUGCACUUCUUACAGAAUUGAAUCGAUUAAAAAUUUGAAGAAAUUCGUAUUACUCGAGAUUCGAUAAGAGACGAAAAGUACGAACGAUUUAAAACUUAUCGAUUAACAGACACCAUCGUAAGAAGGUGUGAGGAGGCGCAAGAAUUUUCAUCCCGCUUGUUCCCCACAUUCGACGAUUCGAAUCGGUUGAAUUAACGUGUUGAAUACGUUGAUUGGCUUAAAAAUUUAACGAACCAUUAAUUGGCAUUUGAAAUUUGGGAAUAAAAAUUGAAAUUAAGAGGACGUGUUAUGUUUAGCGUUCGAAUAAUUAACUUGUGUUGGUUACAAUAUUAUGCGCCACUUUCAUCUCGUUCUAUAUAAAAUUCAUGAAAUAUAAAAUAUAGAGAUUCAAAACAAGCUUGAGUUUCAUAGCCGUUACGCUAAUAUUUUAUAUAGGAAUAAAUUUUAUUCGUUUGCAUUUGUCGAUUGCAGACGAUUUUACGAUCGUAGCUAGCGAUAACAUGUUCUAUUAAUUUCAAUUUAACGCGAGCGAUAAACUCGAACUUUGGAAUGCAUGUAAGUACGUAUGAUAUACACGAAUAUAUUCUGCGGUGUGACCGCGAAAAUUUCAACUUCCCGCAUUUUUAACUUUAUAUUAGUAGAUAACGAACACGAUGAUUACCAUUAAUGUUACCUUACACGAAUAUAAACAAUAAUAUUUGUAAUAGCUGUAAAUUUACAUUACGACAACUCGGAGAGGUAAUGAGAUUAAACGAGAAAAAUUUAGACACACAUUCACGCAAUUUUUGCUAUUAUUGUUAUAGCAUAAAGAGUAAGUAAAAUAGUUACGAAUUUAACAAAUUAAUUAACAACUAAUUAAUUAACUAUAUAUGAGCAUCGAAAUAAUACAGUUUUAUUGCGGUUUCAUUGACGACGCAGACUACAAGCUGCGAAAGAAAAAAAAAAAAAAAGUGAACGCAAGAGCAAGAAAAGGAACAACAAAAUUUGACGUGUUGCACUUUCGAGGUUGUUUUGACAAUGAGUCCUCCUAUUAAACUUUCAACUACGACUUUAUUCAUUUUUCAAAUCGUUUCACCAAGGAAACUUAUUAGUAACAAACUUCAUAUCUAAUACAUAGAUGCGUCUAUCUAUUCGCAAAUUAAUACCUAAUAUAAUAGUUUGGCAUCAUUAAGAACAUUGAUUUCACCUGUGUCCUUCAAAAGGAAUUCUUAAUUCCUUCUUCAGAUUUGUAUUGUAUAUAUAACGAGCGAGAAAUUUUGUUAAAGGUACUGACAAUUCGAGGAAGAGAAUCAAUUCUACUAAGAAAAACAAUAAAAAACAAAUUUCGACUUUAAGCUCAAAACUCUUUAACGUGUACAUAAUAAUAGGAGGAUUGACGAAAGCUUUCUUCAGAUUGAAUCGUGUUCCGAAGAAAUAUCUAAUUACUAUGCAGAUAUCUCCAAGGCUUUCACUUCGGUUUUCAUUCUUUCUUAAAAUUAAUGAAAUAAAAAAAGAAAUUUAUUGUGAAGAAGAAGAAGAAAAAAAAUAUCUGGAAGUACUGUCACUUGCGAUAAUCACGAUUUUACUUCUAAGAUGCGAAACAAGGUCCUCAUCGAAAGAGAAAAGAGAGAUUACGAAAAUAGAAAUCCUAAUGGCUUGUACGGGUACAAUUUUCUCGAAAAAAAAAAAUCGAACGGAAGAAGACCACAUAUCCCUCGUUUUCAUGUAUUAUAAAUAAUGCACCGUCGUUGCAAGGAUCUUUAGAAGAUCCCCCCUCCUUCCCUUUCCCCAUUCGAUAAAAUAAAAGAAAAAAAAAGUAUCGAAAGAAAAAAAUUAAUGUUAAACGAAAUAAUAAGAAAACUGAACGAUUGAAGAGACGAAAAUAAGAAGAAAAUAAACAUGGUAACAGCAUGUGUGUGAUCGAAAUCGGUUCCCAAAUCUGCCUGCAUACACCGCCACGUGUACCGACGUUUAAGUGGAUCGUAAUUUGUAAAUUACUAUGGACUUCCUAAUUAUAUGCUGGUAUAUGAUAAUACAUGUGCUCUGCCACAAUAAAGCAGUUUUUUUUAUCUAAAA